UGAUUCUCAUGGUAUUAUCCAUCAUACUUCUUGUUCAUACACUCCUUAGUAAAAUGGUAUUGCCCGUUGCCUCAUGUUUCACAGGCAUCUACCUAAAACCUUUUGGGGCCAUGCUAUUCUUACAGCCUGUUUUUUAAUUAAUUGGCUUCCAACUUUUGUUCUUCACGGGGGGACACCAUUCUCUAUAUUACAUCCAAAUUGUUCUCCCUUUGCAUUACCUUUACGUGUCUUUGGCUAUGUUUGUUUUGUGCAUAAUCUUACUCCGGAUCUUGAUAAGUUGGAUUCUCGCGAGGAGAAAUGUAUAUUUGUAGAAUACUCUCGAACUCGGAAGGGCUACAAAUGGUAUAGUCCUAAUCGUCGUUGUGUGCUUGUGUCGGCAGAUGUAACAUUCUUUGAGGAUCAUCCAUAUUAUAAUACUCAGAUAGAACCUAUAGUGACUCUAGAAAGUAGCGGAUGUGUUUUAUUGACACUUCCCCCAAUCUCACUUCCUUUAGAACCGUCUACAGGAUUUCAGUUUGCUGAUUGCACAUAUCAUCGGCGUGGUGCAGCUCCUACUACAGUGGUAUAGACUUCACCAACACAUGAUUCAUCUGUUCCCUCAUCGGUUGCUGCACCAUCCUGUGAUCCUAAUGUGCCCAUAGCUACUUGAAAAGUGUUGCUGAAGCUCUUGCUCAUCCUGGAUGGCGGCAAGCAAUAGAAGAUGAAAUGAAGGUGCUUAUUGAGAACCGUACUUGGAAACUCACUUCAUUACCUGCAAAGAAACAAACUGUUCGUUAUCGUUGGGUAUUCAUUGUUAAGGUUCAUCCUGAUGGCACUCUUGAUCGAUUGAAGGCUUGAUUGGUUGCAAAGGGAUAUACUUAGACAUAUGAUGUUGAUUAUGAUGACACUUUUUCACCUGUUGCCAAAAUUUCAUCUGUUCGUGUCUUUAUUUUCCUUGCAACACGUUUUGGUUGGCUUCUUCAUCAGCUAGAUGUGAAAAUGCCUUCCUUUAUGGUGACUUGUCCGAGGAAGUGUACAUGGAGCAACCACCCGGGUUUGUUGCUCAGGGGAGAAUUUGAUAUGCCGCUUACAUAAAGUUUUGUAUGGACUCAAGCAAUUUCCUCGUGCUUGGUUUGGCAGAUUUAGUGAUGCUGUCAAUAAGUUCGGAUUAAAACAUUGUCAAGUAGAUCAUUCGAUUUUUAGCUCUGUCUCCUUAGCUGGUUGUAUUCUUUUGGUGAUAUAUGUGGAUGAUGUUAUCAUUACUAGCAAGUGAAUCGAUGGUAUCCAAUGGCUUAAGCAGUUUUUGCACAUAGAAUUUAAUACCAAGGAUCCGGGACGUCUACGAUAUUUUCUUGGUAUUGAAGUUGCAUAUUCACAUGCAGGUAUCAAUUUAUCUCGGUGAAAAUAUGUAUUUGACAUUCUUGAUGAGAUUGGAUUUCUUGGAGUAAAGCCGGUAGAUAGUCCUAUGGAACCCAAUGUGAAAUUUGAUGCAGAACAUGGAGAAUUGUGAAAUGAUCUAGGGAAGUAUAGAAGAUUAGUGGGAAAGUUGAACUAUCUUACUAUCACAAGGCUUGACAUAUCAUUUGCUAUCGGUGUAGUUAGUCGGUUUAUGAGUUCUUCCCUUACUACUCACUGGGAUGCUGUAAUUAGAAUUAUCGAGCACUUGAAAGGAGCGCAAAGUAAAGGGCUAUUUUCCAAGAAUUAUGGAAAUCCGAACACUAUGAAUUUCUUUGAUGCAGACUGGGCUGGAUGUCCUACCGAUAGGAUAUCUACAUUGGGUUACUGUGUGUUUCUUGGAGGUAAUUUAGUCUCCUGGAAAAGUAAGAAGCAACAUGUGGUUUCCCGAUCAAGUGUUAAAGCAUAAUAUAGAGCUAUGGCACAUGUGAAGUGUGAAUUGCUCUGGUUGAGGAUGUUAUUAUCAGAAAUUGAUUUGCCAACGUUAGAUCCAUCGGUAUUAUAUUGUGAUAAUCAAUUAGCUAUACACAUUGCAAAUAAUCCUGCAUUCCAUGAGCGAACUAAACACAUUGAGAUUGACUGUCACUUCGUACGAGAGAAAGUUCAGAAAGGGGAGAUUAUUCUUCAAAAUGCAAGGAC